GUCAGAAAGAACGGUUCUUUGCACAGUUAGGGUUGAGGCAAAUAAAAAUUACUGGCUCCCACACUUAACUGCUUAGCUUGAACAAACCCAAGACUCGUUUACUGAAGCAUUCAACAUGUCCUCUGUCAAUAGAGCAGUUUCAGGUGUGCACUUCAACAAUCCUAUACAUUACUCAAUGCUCAUCAAGAUAAGUGUAUUCUGCCUUUCAUGAAGGGACAUCUUCCCCACGAAAACAUGCCUCUCUCCAAGGACCUCCUCCACCCCUCCCCAGGAGAGGAGGAGAGGAAGCGGAAGAAGAAGUGCCUGCCUACAGGAGGAAAAGCAAGACUUACAGAAGGAUGCUCCUUCAGACGGAAGUAGCACUAAUAACCCCCAGAAUCAAGAUGAUGGGAAACCAUCCCAAUAAAAACAUUUAAGUUUUAUUUUUAAGUAAAAUC
rnacentral:lncRNA from 1 species